rnacentral:ribozyme from 13 species
CAGCUUGAGAAAAAGACACAAAAAAGGUCACCAAAAGAAAAAAGGUGAGAGUUUUCAUCUUUCCUCUUUCUUCUUCCCUCCUACCCUUUCAAACUUCUCUCUUCCUUCUCUUCCUCUCUUUCUCUUUCUCUUUCUC